rnacentral:rRNA from 1 species
CCUACGGGAGGCAGCAGUGGGGAAUAUUGGGCAAUGGGCGCAAGUCUGACCCAGCAACGCCGCGUGAAGGAAGAAGGCCCUCGGGUUGUAAACCUCUUUUAUUCGGGACGAAACAAAUGACGGUAGCGAAUGUAUAAGCCACGGCUAACUACGUGCCAGCAGCCGCGGUAAUACGGAGGCGGCAAGCGUUAUCCGGAUUUACUGGGUGUAAAGGGCGUGUAGGUGGGAGAGCAAGUCAGACGUGAAAUUCCGGGGAUCAACCCUGGAACUGCGUUUGAUACUGUUUUUCUUGAGAGUUGGAGAGGCAGGCGGAAUGCAGGGUGUAGCUGUGAAAUGCGUAGAUAUACGAAAGAACACCGGUUGCGAAGGCAGCCUAC